GAUGAACGCUGGCGGCGUGCCUAAUACAUGCAAGUCGAGCGAACAGACGAGGAGCUUGCUCCUCUGACGUUAGCGGCGGACGGGUGAGUAACACGUGGAUAACCUACCUAUAAGACUGGGAUAACUUCGGGAAACCGGAGCUAAUACCGGAUAACAUGUUGAACCGCAUGGUUCAACAAUGAAAGACGGUCUUGCUGUCACUUAUAGAUGGAUCCGCGCCGCAUUAGCUAGUUGGUAAGGUAACGGCUUACCAAGGCAACGAUGCGUAGCCGACCUGAGAGGGUGAUCGGCCACACUGGAACUGAGACACGGUCCAGACUCCUACGGGAGGCAGCAGUAGGGAAUCUUCCGCAAUGGGCGAAAGCCUGACGGAGCAACGCCGCGUGAGUGAAGAAGGUCUUCGGAUCGUAAAACUCUGUUAUUAGGGAAGAACAAAUGUGUAAGUAACUAUGCACGUCUUGACGGUACCUAAUCAGAAAGCCACGGCUAACUACGUG
rnacentral:rRNA from 1 species